rnacentral:tRNA from 1 species
CAAAGCGUAGCUAAACCAUAGCAUUUCCCUUACACCGAAAAGAUGCUCGUUAGAAUCGAGCCGCUUUGA